rnacentral:rRNA from 1 species
GCAUAUCAAUAAGCGGAGGCACAAGAAACCAACCGGGAUUGCCCUAGUAACGGCGAGUGAAGCGGCAACAGCUCAAAUUUGAAAUCUGGCUCUUUUAGAGUCCGAGUUGUAAUUUGCAGAGGGCGCUUUGGCUUUGGCAGCGGUCCAAGUUCCUUGGAACAGGACGUCACAGAGGGUGAGAAUCCCGUACGUGGUCGCUGGCUAUUGCCGUGUAAAGCCCCUUCGACGAGUCGAGUUGUUUGGGAAUGCAGCUCUAAAUGGGAGGUACAUUUCUUCUAAAGCUAAAUAUUGGCCAGAGACCGAUAGCGCACAAGUAGAGUGAUCGAAAGAUGAAAAGCACUUUGGAAAGAGAGUCAAACAGCACGUGAAAUUGUUGAAAGGGAAGCGCUUGCAGCCAGACUUGCUUGCAGUUGCUCAUCCGGGCUUUUGCCCGGUGCACUCUUCUGCAGGCAGGCCAGCAUCAGUUUGGGCGGUAAGAUAAAGGUCUCUGUCACGUACCUCUCUUCGGGGAGGCCUUAUAGGGGAGACGACAUAUUACCAGCCUGGACUGAGGUCCGCGCAUCUGCUAGGAUGCUGGCGUAAUGGCUGUAAGCGGCCCGUCUUGAAACACGGACCAAGGAGUCUAACAUCUAUGCGAGUGUUUGGGUGUCAAGCCCGAGCGCGUAAUGAAAGUGAACGGAGGUAGGAACCCGCAAGGGUGCACUAUCGACCGAUCCUGAUGUCUUCGGAAGGAUUUGAGUAAGAGCAUGGCUGUUGGGACCCGAAAGAUGGUGAACUAUGCUUGAAUAGGGUGAAGCCAGAGGAAACUCUGGUGGAGGCUCGCAGCGGUUCUGACGUGCAAAUCGAUCGUCAAAUUUGGGGCAUAGGGGGCGAAAGACUAAUCGAACUAUCUAGUAGCUGGGUUCCUGCCGA